UACGGAGGGGGCUAGCGUUGUUCGGAAUUACUGGGCGUAAAGCGCACGUAGGCGGCUUUUGCAAGUUAGAGGUGAAAGCCCGGGGCUCAACUCCGGAAUUGCCUUUAAAACUGCAUCGCUAGAAUUGUGGAGAGGUAAGUGGAAUUCCGAGUGUAGAGGUGAAAUUCGUAGAUAUUCGGAAGAACACCAGUGGCGAAGGCGAGUCCCUGGACAACUUCUGACGCUGAGGCACGAAAGCUAGGGGAGCAAACAGG
rnacentral:rRNA from 1 species